rnacentral:rRNA from 1 species
UGGGGAAUUUUGGACAAUGGGCGAAAGCCUGAUCCAGCAAUGCCGCGUGUGUGAAGAAGGCCUUCGGGUUGUAAAGCACUUUUGUCCGGAAAGAAAUCCUUGGCUCUAAUACAGUCGGGGGAUGACGGUACCGGAAGAAUAAGCACCGGCUAACUACGUGCCAGCAGCCGCGGUAAUACGUAGGGUGCAAGCGUUAAUCGGAAUUACUGGGCGUAAAGCGUGCGCAGGCGGUUUGCUAAGACCGAUGUGAAAUCCCCGGGCUCAACCUGGGAACUGCAUUGGUGACUGGCAGGCUAGAGUAUGGCAGAGGGGGGUAGAAUUCCACGUGUAGCAGUGAAAUGCGUAGAGAUGUGGAGGAAUACCGAUGGCGAAGGCAGCCCCCUGGGCCAAUACUGACGCUCAUGCACGAAAGCGUGGGGAGCAAACAGGAUUAGAUACCCUGGUAGUCCACGCCCUAAACGAUGUCAACUAGUUGUUGGGGAUUCAUUUCCUUAGUAACGUAGCUAACGCGUGAAGUUGACCGCCUGGGAAGUACGGUCGCAAGAUUAAAACUCAAAUGAAUUGAC